AGACCCGAAACCCGGUGAUCUAGCCAUGGGCAGGUUGAAGGUUGGGUAACACUAACUGGAGGACCGAACCGACUAAUGUUGAAAAAUUAGCGGAUGACCUGUGGCUGGGGGUGAAAGGCCAAUCAAACCGGGAGAUAGCUGGUUCUCCCCGAAAGCUAUUUAGGUAGCGCCUCGUGAAUUCAUCUCCGGGGGUAGAGCACUGUUUCGGCUAGGGGGCCAUCCCGGCUUACCAACCCGAUGCAAACUGCGAAUACCGGAGAAUGUUAUCACGGGAGACACACGGCGGGUGCUAACGUCCGUCGUGAAGAGGGAAACAACCCAGACCGCCAGCUAAGGUCCCAAAGUCAUGGUUAAGUGGGAAACGAUGUGGGAAGGCCCAGACAGCCAGGAUGUUGGCUUAGAAGCAGCCAUCAUUUAAAGAAAGCGUAAUAGCUCACUGGUCGAGUCGGCCUGCGCGGAAGAUGUAACGGGGCUAAACCAUGCACCGAAGCUGCGGCAGCGAACGUAUCACUUAAAGCGAUUCAGCGGGUUACGAUUGACGGAGCGAAGCGACGUCAAAGCGUAUACAAAGUCGAGUCGGUUUAAGGAUACGUUCGUUGGGUAGGGGAGCGUUCUGUAAGCCUGUGAAGGUGGCCUGUGAGGGUUGCUGGAGGUAUCAGAAGUGCGAAUGCUGACAUAAGUAACGAUAAAGCGGGUGAAAAGCCCGCUCGCCGGAAGACCAAGGGUUCCUGUCCAACGUUAAUCGGGGCAGGGUGAGUCGACCCCUAAGGCGAGGCCGAAAGGCGUAGUCGAUGGGAAACAGGUUAAUAUUCCUGUACUUGGUGUUACUGCGAAGGGGGGACGGAGAAGGCUAUGUUGGCCGGGCGACGGUUGUCCCGGUUUAAGCGUGUAGGCUGGUUUUCCAG
rnacentral:rRNA from 1 species